CGCAUCUGUGCAUGCAGCAUAUCAAUAAGCGGAGGAAAAGAAACUAACAAGGAUUCCCCUAGUAACGGCGAGUGAAGCGGGAAGAGCUCAAAUUUGAAAUCUUAAAGGGUUUCCCUUUACGAAUUGUAGUUUGAAGAAGUGUUUUCUGUUGAGGUUUUGGUAAAAGUUCUUUGGAAUAGGACAUCAUAGAGGGUGAGAAUCCCGUAUUUGACCUUUACUUUCAACUUUGUGAUACACUUUCAAAGAGUCGGAUUGUUUGGGAAUGCAGUCCAAAAUGGGUGGUAAAUUUCAUCUAAAGCUAAAUAUUGGCGAGAGACCGAUAGCGAACAAGUACCGUGAGGGAAAGGUGAAAAGAACUUUGAAAAGAGAGUUAAACAGUACGUGAAAUUGUCAAAAGGGAAGCGUUUGACACCAGUGUUGUUUUUCUGAAAAUCAAUUAAAGAACUGUUUAUGCUAAGCUGUUUAGACUUUAUCAGCUAUCUGUUUAGUUUUGAGCUUUUCUUUAAUGCACUUUUCAGUUAACAAGUCAACAUCAAUUUCUUUUGCUGUAAAAAAGCUUGAGGAAGGUGGCUUGAGAUUCGUCUUAAGUGUUUAUAGCCUCUUGCCUAUGCAGUCGGAGAGAUUGAGGUCUGCAGCGUAGAUCCUUCGGGGCUAAAUGCAUUUGUGCUAAGUUAUAGCAUUUUAUAGACAACUUGUUGACUAUGAUUUGUCUUGUAGCUUACUCGCUUAUGUUAUUUUACCUACGCUUAGGAUGUUGAAUCUGUGCGAGACUAC
rnacentral:rRNA from 1 species